CCUUUUUAGUGCAUGUCUCAUUUUGACUUGUUUCUGCUACAAAUGAGGCUUCAGUUAAGUAAAAUAUUCUUUGCAUGCGCUUGACAACAUUUGGAGGCAUGGAAAUAUAAUAUCAUAGAAGGCUGAAACCUAAACCUGGUUCUGGAUUCCACUAUAGUAUUUCUGAGUGGAGUUGGUCCACAUAGACCAUGCUUGCAGGAGGACUUCACAAAGAGUUUGACAAUCGGCAGCAUCAGUGCAUGGUGCUGUAUCUCCUGUGGACAAGCAGUGCAGAAAACAGUAGGUGCAUUUAUAUGAGACCCUUAAUGUGCAGUAGCCUAAUAACACUGCGCAGUAGAGCUUCACAGCAUGGACAAUGCUAACACACUACCGCACAGUAUUAUCAGGAAGGAUACUGGUUUUCUCUGUUUAAAAAUAGCAAAUUCUCUGAUAAAACUCCCCAAAUCCACAAUUAAAAUGAAAUGCUACUAUGUAUAUGUAUCAAUUGAACACAAUGUAUUAUUGAUAUAUUUCCAAUUUUAAAGCCAUUUGGAGCCCUACCAGUGCCUCAAUUACUAUAAUAAAAUACA